CAUUUUUCAACUUCUCCUCAUUCUUCUUGAAUUAUUUGUAGAGGUAUUUAUCCUGGUUGUUGCCGCCACACACCCCUCUACCCCUCAAGUAACAUGAAUAAAUAAAUAAACAAAAUUUAUGCAUGGAUGCAUGAGUGCUAUUUAAAAUUAUAAAUUAACAAUUGCUUUUAGCUGAUGAGCAAUUUAGCAUCAGCUUGUUUCGAUUUCUGUCUAAACCUCGAUUACCAAGUGCUUUUAGCUGAUGAUCGGUUUAGUUGUUUUUCGUAUUUAUUCAUGUAUUAAAGGAUGUAUCUACAAAUGCACCCCUAAACCUUGCAGACUUGAGGAAAAAGGAUCCUUACUGCUGAUCCAGCUAGAUUAAGAUUGAGGAUUGGUUGAAUUGUGUUCUAGUGUUUGUCUCAUUUAUGCUUAUGUUGCUGUAGUACAGUGGGUAAAAAAGAGUUAUUGAAAAAAAAAACUAAUUAUUUUGUAAACUUAUGGUGGUUCCUAACAAUAUACUCUCUUAGUACAUGUGAUAUGUUCCAAUAACUUUGGCUUGCCCAUGGUCAACAAUGCUGUAAUUUUGGUGAAUUAUGUACUUAGUGUCUUGCUUUAUAUGAGUUUUUGCUUCAUAAAGAAGUUACAGCUAAUGGGUGCUGCACCGAUCUUUGUAG
rnacentral:misc_RNA from 1 species